rnacentral:misc_RNA from 1 species
AAAGAAUCACAAAAAAAUUAGUAUAAAAUAAGAUUGAUUUAGGUACAUAUCCUAUUAAUAUAAAUUACAUAUCUUCUUAAUCCUCUAACAUAUCUUUUAACUAUGAACCACAAUACUUUCUUACAUUCUUUUUAACAUUAAAAGCAAAGCAAAUAAUCACAAAAUACAAUUUCUAAAACAGGUAUACUUCAUUUGCGACAAAUUGGAUAUUUUCCUUUAUUAAACAUAUUAUAUAUUAUAUUUAAGGUUACGUCAUGUCAUAUUAUUAUUUAACUGUCAUUAUACAUGAAUUUUAUAUAAUUAAAGUAUAUAUAAUGUUGGACAUGUUCAGCACAGUCAUCUUCUUAAUUUAGUAAGACAUAUAUAUUUAUAUAAGACAUGUUCAUAUUACGACCUUGCAUCUUUUGAGUUGUGAAUUGAUGCUACUGCGUGAGAAAACGGCAGAUGUAAUGCGUGACAUCGCAACAGACUUGUGCUUAGGCACAUAUCAAUACGAACUUUUUUUGUCGCUCUUAAUUCUCGCACAAACUGCAUGGAACUAAAAGCAGCUCGAAUAUUUAAUGUGCUUUCCUCCACUUUUAAAAAGUUUAUACAUGCAUUCGAAUGCUCUGCUAAAUGCGAGGUAACAUCGAUUCCUGCAGACAUAGCAAUCAUCAGUUUCUCGUAAACUUUCGUUAUGGAUGAUUCGAAGUACUCGGAACAAAAAGGUGUUUAAUAUUGUAAUUAAAAAUGGAACCACUUGUUUUUCGAAUAAGAUUAUUUAUUAUUAUUUCUAAACAAGCAUAGUUUCUUUAGUUAACUAUUCCAAGAUAUUUUUAUUAUUCCGAUUAUUCCAAUAUACCUUAUACAAAAAUUCAUUAUUACAAAACUUCUAUAAAUAGUAAUACAUGUGUCGGUAGAGAAAAUUUGUUUAAAUUGAAAACUGAAAAGUAAAUUGGUUUCUGCAGAACAUUGUCUCAUUAAAAUUUCUGUAGGAAGAUUUCGAAUGGGCAGUGAAAUUGAAUCGUGCGGGUCUGAAUUUACUUGGGUUAUGGCCAAAUCCGCAAGAAAGUGCUAGAGAGGAAGUAAUAAGUAAUAUACGUGUGUUGCUUACAUUACUGGUAAUGCUAACUUUAUUGGUGCCUUGUGUACAUUCCUUGAUUAAAACUAAUUCGGACAUCAUGCUGACAAUAGACAAUUUACAAAUUAUUAUACCGAUACUUAGCACCAUUAUAAAGCUUCCAAUAUUUUGGUGGAAAAAAAAAGCAUUCACAUCAAUUGUAAACAUGAUCGUGGAAGACUGGUUAAAGUCAACAAAUAUCCAUGAAAGGAAAACGAUGAUUAAAUGGGCGCUACGUGCACGUAUAUUUAUUACAUGCUCGUAUAUACUAAUAACAAUCGGGCUCAUAAUUUUUUUCGUCAUAGGACCUAUUUUCGGAAAAUCAAUGACAUUGACAUCAAAUAUCACUGAUUCCAGCAGGUCAUUGACCCUACCAACUUAUUACAUUUACGACGUAACAAAAAGGCCGCAAUACGAAUUAACAAUCAUUAGCCAAUGCAUCUCUAUUACCACCACAGGCAUACUUUAUAUAGGAAUUGACAAUUUUUUUGGAUUAUUAGUUUUUCAUAUUUGCGGACAAUUGAACAUCAUGAGGAAUCGUCUCAAAUGUAAUCACGAAAAUUUUCGUGUUGUAUUGAGAGCUAGUGUGAUGUAUCAUAUUCGAUUGCUUAGAGCUAUAAAUACCAUAGAAGAUACAUACAACGUCAUUCUGCUAAUAUUAUUUCUCUUUUUUGGGAUAUUAUUUGCCUUCUGUGGAUUCCUAUUAGUUGCUCUGUUUGAAGACGAAGAAAAUGAUAUAUCGUUUACGCGUUUAUCAUUUCUUUUCCUCAUUACUACAUCCAUAAUCAUACAUAUGGGAAUUUAUUGCGCUGUUGGUGAAACGCUAAUGACCCAAUGCAAUGGAAUUUAUUAUGCGGUAUAUGAUUAUGAGUGGUAUUCUUUGGAUCCAAAAGAAGCAAAGGAUUUAAUCCUAUUUAUGAUUAAAAUUAGAGAUCCUAUUUAUUUCACUGCUGGUAAAAUAUUUCCUGUAACAAUGGCUAUGUUUUGUAAUUUGCUAAAGACGUCGGCCAGUUAUAUAUCCGUUUUACUUACAUCAAGAAAAAACUAAAAUGUGGGUAAAAUUAGAUUAUUUGUAGCUUUUCCUAGGAUUACUAGAAUGCAAUAAUUAGAAAGACUUGGACUUGCAUUGCUGUGCUUUUAGAAUAGAAAUAUGAAAUAAAUGACAUUGUUAAAACGCAAUACUUUGAUCAAAUAAUAUUAUAUAAGCAAAAUUAGUGUUAACAUAUCCAUUACGUUAGAAUAUAACAAAACUAUUCAGCUGUUAUUCUUUAUCUUUUUUAUCUCGAUAACAGAAAUUUAUUCUGAUAUAUGUAUAUGUGUAAUUAUGCAUAAAAGUCCACAUGUGCAUUGUAUUAAUAACAACAAUUAUAUUACGGACUGUUAUAACAGAAAUAAUAAUAUAAAUAUGACAAUUAUAAAAUGUGAAAUAUAAAUGUUUGAAAAAUAAAAUAUCUGUAAAACAUUAAUCAAAAUUCGCUCACUACAAGGAACACAAAACAUCUUUUACUGUAUAUAUUGGAUUACAUAUUCACUAUUAAUACAGGAAAUAAACACUUGUGCCCACUAACUUUUAA